CAGUCGCCACGGUAAUACGUAGGUGGCAAGCGUUGUCCGGAAUUAUUGGGCGUAAAGGGCUCGCAGGCGGUUUCUUAAGCCUGGUGUGAAAGCCCCCGGCUCAACCGGGGAGGGUCAUUGGAAACUGGGAAACUUGAGUGCAGAAGAGGAGAGUGGAAUUCCACGUGUAGCGGUGAAAUGCGUAGAGAUGUGGAGGAACACCAGUGGCGAAGGCGACUCUCUGGUCUGUAACUGACGCUGAGGAGCGAAAGCGUGGGGAGCGAACAGGAUUAGAUACCCGAGUAGUCCCUGUCUCUUAUAU
rnacentral:rRNA from 1 species